AAUAUACAAUUAUACACAUAAACAAACAAAUUUUCUUGCAAAUCCUUCCAAAUUAUGCAGACAAUAAGGAUAAAGCAGAAAGUGUAUAUAUAAAUUUCCCAGAUCCACAAACAAUAUAUUAAUCCUAGAGGUAGAAGCUAAUUAACAAGUAACAAGUGUCCAGCUGCUAUUUCACAGAAAAAUAAAAAUAAAAAAUCAAAGCUUUAACAAAAUCUAAAACCAACCCAAAUUUUUAACCAUUAAACCCAUCAACAACAUGUUAAAAUAUUGAAAAAAAAAACCCCAGUAACAAAAAGAAAAUCAAAUGAAGGAAAAAUAUAUAUUUUUUAAUUUUUUUUAAAAAAGCAGCUAAAUUAGCUCAGGUAACAAGAUCCCUUCAUUAAAACAUUCAAAAUAGUUUCUUUAAUCAAGCAAAACUAAAAUUACAUAAAAAGGCAAACAAAUAUAACAAAAAAAUUAUAAAACAGUAAAGAACAAAGGAAGAAAAAGGGAGAGAAAGGGUAAAGUAUAAUAGUGAUAGAAGAAACGAAAGAGACUGC
rnacentral:lncRNA from 1 species